UGAUAGAUUUUCUUCUGCCGCGGUAUACUUUUACUUUGCCCCGAUUUAGCCACACAAAUCCAAUAGGUUCAAUCGGGCCCCGACCAGGUGAUGGAUAUAGUCUAGGCCACGAGCUACACCGUCUCGUGGCACUAUCAUUCGGUGGCAUGUAAAUCGAGGUAUCAGAUCUCGUUGGCCACAAAUUCAUUUUAUUGUCAACACGGGUUGACGGCCCGACAGCAUAUGACCCGACCAUCAACAUCAUAGAUGGUCUGGGUGCAUAUGAUGUUGAUGGCUUCGAUAUAUCUAUCACCCGUACCUGUACCUCAGUGAGUUGAGGCUUUUUCUUUGAGUUUUUGGCUUUAGGCUUCGUUGCCUUAGGUUUUGUUUCCUUUAAUUUUAUUUUCCCUGGUUCCUUUGAGGAAGAGCAACAGAAGCUGACAGGUGCAACGUCUAUUCACAACCUAUCCUUAUCCUCUUAUGAUGAAAUAAGGGUACUGCAAGGCAUAAGCACUCCGUUUUAACUGUGACUGCCGCCGGAAGCCGAACUGAAGUUAGGCUCGUGGUGCGCGUUUCCGGAAGGGCCCAAUAUUACGCCGGAUAAAUCCGCUUUUAUCAUCCCGGACUCUUUUUCCAUUUUUACGAAAACAGGUUCUCCCAUUUCCAUUGGUACAAAAACACACUCACACGAAUCAUCAAAAUUUUAGCUUCAAAAUUAUAUUUUUUCACUCCCAAUUAGAUCUUAAAAGGACCGAAAUUUGUUUUGAAUUCGUACCGUAGCGUCACUUGAACUUGUUUACCGACUCCCACCACCUAGAAUUUCACCUCACCACAAUCUCUGCUGGUUGUCAUUUCAGCAUUGGAUACACGAUAGAAAAUUAUCACGUUUAUUUUUUCCGAUUUUCACACUUCAAAUUGAACACAUAUAGCAUUGAUUUAAAAAUGAAUGUCUCAUGAAUUUUGACUUACUGAUUUCACUUAUAACAUU